UAAUGCUUCAUUUCCCUUUUUGAGUUUCAGCAAAGACUCAGCAAAACGAGAAACAGUUAACACCUCAGUAGCUAACAAACACUGGGUGGCAAGAAGAAGGUGUUAUACCCCAGGCCCCAUGCUGAGUGGCCUACCUUUGACGAUCCCCACCUUUACUCCUCCUCUCCCCCACAACUAAAGACAGAUCCAUUCAGUCUCCAAUACAGUUCCAUCUGGGCUCCAUCCUCAGACCCAACGGUACGAUGGGGUCUAGGAAGGGAAAAAACCCACCAAGAAGAGCAUGAUUGCCAUUCAACAGACAUUCCUCCAGCACCUAGCCUUCAUCACUGAAUCACUCAGAUUGAGACCUGUUGAAGACCUUAACUUAAAAAGGCCAAGGUCUCCCAGUGCAUCCAGGGCCAUUUCCAGUCUCAUCUUGAUCUUUAUCUGGCCACUGACACUAAUGCAUUAUUGGUGGAGGUGUGAGAUGAUCCAACCAUUCUGGAGAGCAAUUUGGAACUAUAAAAGGGCUAUAAAACUAUACAUACCCUUUGACCCAGCUGUGCCAUUAUUGUGUCUGUCUCCCAAGGAAAUCAUAAAUGAGGGAAAAGGACCCACUUGUGCAAAAAUGUUUGUAGCAACUUUUUUUUUUGUGGUGGCAAAGAAUUGGAAAAUGAAUAGAUGUCUAUCAAUUGGGGAAUGGUUGAACAAGUGGUACAUGAAGGUAAUGGAAUAUUAUUGUUCUAUUAAAAAUGAUGAACAAACUGGUUUUAGAAAGCCUUGUAAAGAUUUACACGAACUGAUGCUGAGAGAAAUAAGCAGAACCAAGAAUACAUUGUACACAGUGACAGCAAGAAUGUGCGAUGAUCAGCUAUGAAAGGCUUGGUUCUUCCCAGAGGUUCAGUGAUCCAAGGCAAUCCCAAUAGACUUUGGAUAGAAAAUACUACCCACAUUCAGAAAAAGAAUUGUGGAGACUGAAUGUAAAUCAACACUACUAUGUUCACUUAUUUUUUCUGUUUUUUUCUCUCCCGUGGUUUUUCUCUUUUGUUCUGAUUUUCCUCUCUCAAUAUAAUUCAUAAAGCAAUGUAUAUUAAAAAAUAAAUAAACAAAUUAUAUUUGGUCAUUGGACCCAGAUGACUCUAGAGGGAAAAAGUGAGGCAGGUGACCUUGCACAGCCCUCCCUCACUUAAAUCCAGGUCCCUUGCAUGACAUGGCGUCACUCCCCUGAGGUUGUGGUCCUAUUCAAGAAAGAAGGACAAACAACAACCACCUCCAGUAUACCUACUAUGUGUCGGUACUAAGGAUACAAAGACAAAAUACAGAACAGUGGCUUAUGUUUUAAAGAAAAAGAAAAACAUACAUUACAGUAACUGACCUCAAGGAGCUUACAAUCUAAUGAAAGCAGCAAAACGCAAUGGAGGGAUUUCUGCAGUCUCAGUCAGGAGGGAUGUGUGUUUGAAUCCCACCUCCUUCAUUUAGGACACGGGUCCUCAAACUAUGGCCCGUGGGCCAGAUGCAGCAGCUGAGGAUCCCCCUCACCCAGGGCUAUGAAGUUUCUUUAUUUAAAGGCCCACAAAACAAAGUUUUUGUUUUUACUAUAGUCCAGCCCUCCAACAGUCUGAGGGACAGUGAACUGGUCCCCUAUUUAAAAAGUUUGAGGACCCCUGAUGUGACUUAUGCGAUCAUUUGGAAAAACAUCCUGUUUUCUCAUCCAUCAAAUGAGGAUACUUACCUCAUAGGGUGAUUGUGGGGAUCAAAUGACAUAAUGUUUGUAAAACUGCUUUGCAAACAACAUAUAAUAUAAAAGUCUAUUAUUAUUAUUAUUGAGCAACUGGGUAGCCCAGUAGCAAUAGGUAGCAUUGAGCUUGGAAUUAGGAAGAUCAUCUUGAAUGCAAUCUGACCUCAGACACAUUUGCUGUGUGACCUUGAAUAAGUCACUUAACUCUGACUCAGUUUCCUCAUCUGUAAAAUUUGUUGGGGAAGGAAAUGACAGGCUAUGCAAGUCUCUUUGCCAAGAAAACCAUGGGAUCAUGAGGACUUGUAUACAUCUGAACAAAUAUGAUCUUAGGCAAAUAACUUUAUCUCUUAGCGCCCCAAGCAACUCUGCAGGUAAAAGAACAGGUGAUGAUCUUUAUUGUAGAGGAAUUUUUCUCACUAGAAACCUCCUACAUCGAUGAGAUCAUGGGUAUAUAUAUAUAUUUUUUUUUUCUGAGGCAAUUGGGGUUAAGUGACUUGCCCAGGGUGACACAGAUAGGAUGUGUUAAAUGUCUGAGACCAGAUUUGAACUCGGGUCCUCCUGACUUCAGGGCCGAUGCUCUAUCCACUCCCUAGCUGCCCUGGGUUUAUUUUUUUGAAAAGGACAUGUGCACAAAUAACUAUGUUAUAAGAUAGAAUGUGAUGGGGACAAAGAAGAAUCCAAGACCAAAUGCUAUAAAAAAAAUUGAGGAAAAAGUGGUCAUUUUCAGGUGGAGAGGAGAGUGAUCAAGAAAGACUUCAUGAAAGAGAUGGCAACCGAGCUAAACCUUGAGGGAAAAGAAGGAUUUUCAGAGAAGGAGAUGUGGGAAGAGUGUAUGUUCUGGCAUAUAAUAUGCAGAAGCAGGAGAGAGCAAGACAAAAUUAUGGAGAAAUAAAAAUCUUACUUUUGCUGAAAUGAAGGCAAGUAGAAUCAAAUCACCUUGGAAAGGUAUGUUGGAAGCAGAUUGUGGAGGGUCUAAAGUACAAGAAAAAAUGUGUAUUUUAUUCUUUCUGAGCAAAAUGGGAAUUAAUAAAGAUAGAUGAGCAUCA